rnacentral:rRNA from 1 species
AGAUUGAACGCUGGCGGCAUGCCUUACACAUGCAAGUCGAACGGUAGAGUAGCAAUACUUGAGAGUGGCGAACGGGUGAGUAAUAUAUCGGAACGUGCCCAGUCGUGGGGGAUAACGUAGAGAAAUUUACGCUAAUGCCGCAUACGAUCUAAGGAUGAAAGCGGGGGACUCGCAAGAGCCUCGCGCGAUUGGAGCGGCUGAUAUCAGAUUAGGUUGUUGGUGAGGUAAAAGCUCACCAAGCCGACGAUCUGUAGCUGGUUUGAGAGAACGACCAGCCACACUGGGACUGAGACACGGCCAGACUCCUACGGGAGGCAGCAGGUGGGUAAUUUUGGACAAGUGGGACGAAAGGCCUAGGAUCCGAGCAAUCGGCCGCGGUGACGAGGAAGAGGU